AGGGAAUAUUGCAAAAUGGGCGAAAGCCCGAUGCAGCAACGCCGCGUGGGCGAUGAAGGCCUUCGGGUCGUAAAGCCCUUUUUGAGGGGAUGAGGAAGGACAGUACCCUCAGAAUAAGCCUCGGCUAACUACGUGCCAGCAGCCGCGGUAAAACGUAGGAGGCGAGCGUUAUCCGGAUUUACUGGGCGUAAAGCGCGUGCAGGCGGAUUGGAGAGUUGGAUGUGAAAGCUCCCGGCUUAACUGGGAGAGGUCGUUCAAUACUUCCAGUCUUGAGUGCAGUAGAGGGAAGUGGAAUUCCGGGUGUAGUGGUGAGAUGCGUAGAUAACCGGAGGAACACCAGUGGCGAAAGCGGCUUCCUGGACUGUAACUGACGCUCAGACGCGAAAGCUAGGGUAGCAAACG
rnacentral:rRNA from 1 species